GGAAAUCUACGGGACGCAGCAGUGAGGAAUAUUGGUCAAUGGGGGAAACCCUGAUGCAGCGACGCCGCGUGAGUGAAGAAGUAUUUCGGUAUGUAAAGCUCUAUCAGCAGGGAAGAAAAUGACGGUACCUGACUAAGAAGCCCUGGCUAACUACGUGCCAGCAGCCGCGGUAAUACGUAGGGGGCAAGCGUUAUCCGGAUUUACUGGGUGUAAAGGGAGCGUAGACGGCAGCGCAAGUCUGGAGUGAAAUCCCAUGGCUUAACCAUGGAACUGCUUUGGAAACUGUGCAGCUAGAGUGCAGGAGG
rnacentral:rRNA from 1 species